UACGGAAGGCAGCGGUGGGGAAUAUUGCACAAUGGGCGAAAGCCUGAUGCAGCUAUGCCGCGUGUAUGAAGAAGGCCUUAGGGUUGUAAAGUACUUUCAUCGGGGAGGAAAAAACAAAACUAAUAAUUUUAUUUCUUGACGUUACCCGAAAAAGAAGCACCGGCUAACUCCGUGCCAGCAGCCGCGGUAAUACGGAGGGUGCUAGCGUUAAUCAGAAUUACUGGGCGUAAAGAGCACGUAGGUGGUUUUUUUAAGUCAGAUGUGAAAUCCCUGGGCUUAACCUAGGAACUGCAUUUUGAAACUGAAAUACUAGAGUAUCGUAGAGGGAGGUAGAAUUCUAGGUGUAGCGGUGAAAUGCGUAGAUAUCUGGAGGAAUACCUGUGGCGAAAGCGGCCUCCUAAACGAAUACUGACACUGAGGGUGCGAAAGCGUGGGGAGCAAACAGGGAUUAGAUACC
rnacentral:rRNA from 1 species